rnacentral:lncRNA from 1 species
CAGGGCGUCCCUUGGUCAAUUAAUCAGUAAAGGAUUAUAAUAUUUAAUUUUCCCAACAGAUGGUGCUAGCCCUCAACGUAGUAGUCUCAUCCACAUCUCUCUGACAGGCACUGACUCCUGCUCGGCCGAGCUACAGAGUUCCAAAUGACUGGAGAAGAAACUCUCAUUGCCGGGGUUCUGAGUUCGAGUCUAAGGGGAUGACGAAGCUGACGUCCCCCUUCCUUAGCGUCAGAGAAUGGAGAAUGAACAUCAUUCUAAUUCCCUCUUGGGCAAGCCAGUGGUACUGCUCAGGAGACCACGAAGCAGGGGCUCCUCA